AUUGAACGCUGGCGGCAGGCCUAACACAUGCAAGUCGAACGAGUGGCGGACGGGUGAGUAAUGUCUGGGCAACUGCCUGAUGGAGGGGGAUAAAUACUGGAAACGGUAGCUAAUACCGCAUACCAUCGGAUGUGCCCCGAUGGGAUUAGCUCGUAGGUGGGGUAACGUCUCACCUAGGCGACGAUCCCUAGCUGGUCUGAGAGGAUGACCAUCCACACUGGAACUGAGACACUGUCCAGACGCCUAGUGGAGGCAGCAGUGGGGAAUAUUGCACAAUGGGCGCAAGCCUGAUGCAGCCAUGCCGCGUGUAUGAAGAAGGCCUUCGGGUUGUAAAGUACUUUCAGCGGGGAGGCGUUACCCGCAGAAGAAGCACCGGCUAACUCCGUGCCAGCAGCCGCGGUAAUAC
rnacentral:rRNA from 1 species